UACGUAGGGUGCGAGCGUUGUCCGGAAUUAUUGGGCGUAAAGGGCGCGUAGGCGGCCUGACAAGUGGAAGGUGAAAUCCCUCGGCUUAACCGAGGAACUGCCCUCCAAACUGUCUGGCUUGAGACCGGGAGAGGUGAGUGGAAUUCCCAGUGUAGCGGUGAAAUGCGUAGAUAUUGGGAGGAACACCAGUGGCGAAGGCGGCUCACUGGACCGGUACUGACGCUGAUGCGCGAAAGCGUGGGGAGCAAACAGG
rnacentral:rRNA from 1 species